rnacentral:misc_RNA from 1 species
AAGUCGUAACAAGGUUUCCGUAGGUGAACCUGCGGAAGGAUCAUUAAUGAUACCUGGUCCUAGACCACCGUCCUGUGUGCAAUCAAUUGUUGUUGGUGCUAACUUCGUUAGCCUAGGAUGAUCGAAUUAGACUAGCAUACACGCUACGCCUAGGGAAGUAAUUCCUCUGGUGUGGAUUGUGUGCUACGCCUAGUCGGUCCAUUCAUAGGUUAACAUGAAGAAGUGAUCACCACGUUAUGCUUACCAACAUGUGACUUAGUACAGUGAAUGCCUUGAUCUUGGUCGGGUGUCAUAACCCGAUCUUGAGUCUAAACAACUCUUAGCAACGGAUCUCUAGGCUCCCA